rnacentral:rRNA from 1 species
AGCGGCGGACGGGUGAGUAACACGUGGGUAACCUGCCUGUAAGACCGGGAUAACUCCGGGAAACCGGUGCUAAUACCGGAUAGAUUAUCUUUCCGCCUGGAGAGAUAAGGAAAGAUGGCUAUUGCCAUCACUUACAGAUGGGCCCGCGGCGCAUUAGCUAGUUGGUGAGGUAACGGCUCACCAAGGCGACGAUGCGUAGCCGACCUGAGAGGGUGAUCGGCCACACUGGGACUGAGACACGGCCCAG